rnacentral:rRNA from 1 species
UACGGAGGAUGCGAGCGUUAUCCGGAUUUAUUGGGUUUAAAGGGUGCGUAGGCGGGCUUUUAAGUCAGCGGUAAAAAUUCGGGGCUCAACCCCGUCCGGCCGUUGAAGCUGGGGGCCUUGAGUGGGCGAGAAGAAGGCGGAAUGCGUGGUGUAGCGGUGAAAUGCAUAGAUAUCACGCAGAACCCCGAUUGCGAAGGCAGCCUUCCGGCGCCCUACUAACGCUGAGGCACGAAAGUGCGGGGAUCGAACAGG